rnacentral:rRNA from 1 species
CCUACGGGUGGCAGCAGUGAGGAAUAUUGGUCAAUGGGCGCGAGCCUGAACCAGCCAAGUAGCGUGAAGGAUGACUGCCCUACGGGUUGUAAACUUCGUUUAUAAAGGAAUAAAGUGAGGCAAGUGUGCCUUUUUGUACGUACUUUAUGAAUAAGGAUCGGCAAACUCCGAGCCAGCAGCCGCGGUAAAACGGAGGAUACGAGCGUUAUCCGGAUUUAUUGGGUUUAAAGGGAGCGUAGAUGGGUUGUUAAGUCAGAUGUGAAAGUUUGCGGCUCAACCGUAAAAUUGCAAUUGAUACUGGCAGCCUUGAGUACAGUUGAGGUAAGCGGAAUUCGUAGUGUAGCGGUGAAAUGCUUAGAUAUCACGAAGAACUCCGAUUGCGAAGGCAGCUUACUAAACUGCCACUGACAUUGAUGCUCGAAAGUGUGGGUAUCAAACAGGAUUAGAUACCCGGGUAGUC